GUUGAAUUCUGAAUAUAAUAUGUACUAAAGACACUUUAUGUCAAAUGACAAAUUUAAAAAUGGAUCAGAUCAAAAUAUCAUAAUCAAUUCACAGGUAAUUACCCAUACUUAACAGAAGGAAUAUAAGCUGUUUUAAAAGUGGAUUUGGGUUGUGUGUGUUUUUUUUUUUUUCUGAGGCUCUCUCCUUUGCUUAUAUCUUUAAGUGAUCAGUUGAUUAGGUAAUGGGUACUUGAGGCAAAAAAGGGGCAGGAUACAAAUUUAAGAGUUUAAGGAACUAUAUUACACUUGUAAAGAGAAAAAGUGGGAUGCAGGGUGUAGGUUGAACAGGAGUAGUGGGGUGGCAAAGUAUGAGCUCCUGAGUUAAUACCUAGGAAACUGGGCUUUCUGCCAUAAAAAAGACACAAAUCUUUGUGGUGACCUAAUUAAAGUUCUUAAAAUUCAAUUUGGACAGUUAGGAAGCUCAGCUCCUUUCCAGGAGGAAUAAGGAGUCAGUGCAAUGACCUAACUGAUCCUGGGCUGCUUGCCAUUUCAAAUAACUGGAGUGGGUUUAUCAGCUUCUCUUGGGGACCCAGGCUUCCUGAUCACAGUCUUGAGUAAAGGAGAGUGUCCUGAGGGGUCACACUGGUGUCAUGGCCCAACAGUGGUUGCCAUGACUAGAGGACAUGCUUUUUGAGAAGGAAAACUGAUGUUUCUUUCAACUGUUGCUAUGAAAGUUUUUGGAGUAAAGAAGAAAGGACAUCCUCUCAAAACCAUCCAUGCAUCCUUCUAAUCCUUUCACACGUCCAUCCAUCCAUCCAUCUCUCUAUUCAUCCGUACAACAUAUACUGAGCACUUAUUCCUACCAAAUAUGGGGGACACAACACUAAAUAUGACACAAUUGAUACUUUGAAAGCACUCAGUCUUCAUGCAAAUACAUGUAACUAAAACAAUGAAGUGUAAGCUCAAGGCUCCAAGUAAGAAGUCCUGAGUCUGAGUGUUUAUUCUAUAAUUUAAAUGGCCAUGUGGUCUUGGGCAACACACUUUUCUCUAGGACAAUACUGUCAUCCAUAAAAGAGUACAGCUAGACUAGAACACUCUCUGAUGUCUCUUCCAGGUCAGACAUGGUAAAAUUCUAUGUCCAGACAAAUUCAGUUUAAAAUAAGCUUAUCACAUAAGUGCAGAUACUGUAAUGAUGUAGUAAGUGGUCUCCUCUGUCUACCUGGCCUCCCUAAUCUAUCUAUCUCCUAUAAUGUAGGCAGAGUGGUCCUUUCUAAAGAAAAUCUAUCUUGUUUCUCUUUUCAUUUGUCCUCUAAGGGUAGAUUCCUAUUCCUUUUAGGCUAAAGAUGAACAUUCUUAAAGAGGUCUUUGUGGCCUUGUUUAACUCUUCACCUCAUUUUACCUCAAACCUGGAAUAGUCUUCUUUGCAUUUUAAACUUUGUUCCUCUUGUUACAAGGCCUCUGUCUGGACCACUUCUCUUUCCCUCAUCCUCUGCCCAGGGAGAAUCACUCAUCUUUCAGAGAGCAGCCUACUUGCCAUUUCUUCAGGGAUACUUUCUCUCACCUCCCAGGCAAGGCCUGGCUCCUUUGUUAUAUAUGCACACAGAGCUGUGUUUCUUCUCUAGAGCACAAAUCUUACCCCUGACCUAAGCCUUAACAUUGGGGUCUUUUUGUUUAAUGUUUGACUCCCCUACCAGUUUCUCAGACUCAGGAUAGCAGGAACAGUGGUUGGGAGUGAGUCUGGAAGUCAGACAGGGUGACUGGAGUCAUGGCUGCAGCACUGGGCAAGUCACUCUGCUCUAAACCUCAACUUUCUCAUCUAUAAAGAUAAUAGUAUGCUUAUCAUUGGGUUGUUGGGAGAGGAAAAUGGAAUUACAAAGCCUUAGAGCUUAAUGCAGGGCCCAGCAUGUAUUCAGUGCUCUCUACACAGGAACUGUUAUCAAUGUGCUCAAUUCUUCCUUUGUUGUGUUUCUAUGCAGGUCCAUCUGGCCUCCAUUUGAUUCCCAAGGGGACCCAUUUGCCAGAUGUGGGUGCCUUUGGGAACUGUUCCCCUUCAUAGUCCCAAUCCUUGAAUCCUCUCUUCUCUCCACAGCACACGAAGUCCAUCAGGUACCAGAGUUGGCUCUCCUUUUGAAAAUUUACCCAGAAUCCAACUGCUUUUCUACCCUUCUGCAGCUAACACUCUGGUCUAAGCUGCAAGCAGCUCUCACGCAGAUGAUUGCAAUGGCCUCCUAACUGGUCUCCCUGGCUCUGCCUUUAUCCCCUAGUCUUUUCCUGGCAUAGCAGUCAGAACAAGACUGUUAAAAUCUAAAUCGGAUUAUGAUACUCCUCUGCUGGAAAACCUCUGAUGGCUCCCAUCAUACUUAGAAUGAAACCCAAAUCCUGCUCUUCAAAACAGUCAUGAUUGGCCCUAGGCAACUUUUCUGAUCCUAUCCAUCCCCCUAAUACAUAGGCUCCUGCUACAGUGGCCUUCAUAUCACGUGCUGGAAAGCCUCUUCACCUGGAAACUUGCAACCUGGCCUCCCCAUCUCCUUUAGGUCUUUGUUCUCAGGUCACAUUCUCAGUUAGGCCUUCCCUAACACCUUAUUUAAUGUUUCCAUUCCUACUCCACAUUGGACGCUUUUCCUAUAAUCCCCUUUCCAUUUUAUUUUCCCCACAGCAUUUGAUAUUAUUUGAAGUACUAUAUAUUUUACAUAUUUGCCUAUUGCCAGUCUUUUCCAUUGUGAUUUCUAUUAUGAAAGUGCUUUUGUUCUUUGUCAUUGUUGUUGUUGUUCCAUGCUGUAGCCUCAGUGCAUAGGUUAUUACAGAAACAACAUGCUAGAUGCUUAAUAAAUAUUUGUUGCAUGAAUGUAUGAAUAAUUGAAUUGUCAACUCAGUUCUCAGGGUAUGGUUGCCUUCUAUGCCUACUCAGAAACCGUCCUGGAUUAUAUGGUUCCCUGAACCUCUUCUUAAUAGGUGGACUCCACCACAAUUAAAUUUCUGAAUUCCAUGAAUUGCAGUCAAUCCUUAAUCUUAGAUGUCUCUGAUAGCCAGGUCAAACUUCAAGCACUGUGAUACAUUUUUGGAGAGUGAAGAAUGAGUUAUAUUUUUGAUGUAGAAAUAUUCUGAUGCUUUCCUCCUAAAGGCGAAUUAUUUCUCUUAGGUCACUAGAAAUAUCUCUUGGUUUCCUAAACUACAGACAUACUUACUGAUGUGCAUAAGUAGCCAAGGUGGUAAGAAACAAUCUAAAGUUUACCAUGAUGCCUAGCCUUGAGAAAGAAGGUGGAUCAUAUACAUAUUUGUUUCUCAUGUUCCAAUCCUUAAACAGAAAAAUAGAAUCCCUUUUAGAAGACUGGCUGGCCAAAUUUGGGGCUGUACCUUCUUUCAAUUUUGGAGAAUAGUAGCUUAACUUUUAAAGGAAAAUUAGAGUCAGCUCUGAGGAAGAAAGUGGUCAAUGGUGGUGGUGCCCAGAAGAACAUAUCAGGCUUGUUCAUGUUGGAACACAUGCUAGUAAAAAAUGAGUACUGGAAGGUUUGUGACAAAGACACCUGCUGAGUAACACACUUACAGAUACAUGUACAACAGGACAUCAACCUAGGAAAGAUUUGAGAGAUGAGCAGAAGAUGCCACUAAAAUCAGAUUCUGCUGAGGACCAGCAUAUUAUCCGAAUGGGAACCUAAAUGGGAGGGGGAGGGGAAGAGAACUCUGACACCUCCUUCUGGUGUGGCAGUGGACUGGGAAGGGCACAGGUGCAGAAUGGUUGAGUAUUGGCUUGCUGGUCUGAUGGCCACAUGUGGACAUAUGGAAGGAGAAGACAUUAAAACUUCCAGUACUGAGAUACAACCAAUGAUAUAUUGUGAUUAUAUAAUUUUUUUGUUAUUGUUCAUCAAAAUUUUCUGCAUCCUCAUAAAACUGAAAAUGAUGGCUGAAAAUGAUGGUACCCAGGGGUACCGAAUGGGGGCUCCUAUUAGGAAACAUAUGCUAUCAAAAAUGGUAACUUGGGGAAUUCCCAUUGUGGCUCAUCAUUCUCAAUUCAUGAGUUGUUGCCCAGCUUUCAUCUGUUCCCUGCUAUACUUUAGUUUAGGGUCUGCAACUCUUCAGAAAUUUCCCAUUACAUUUCCAUGACCCUUUGGCAGACAUCCCUACUCAUUCAUAACAUUCUUUCCUGCAGAUACAGGAAGGUAUUCAUAGUCCUGCUCAACUCUGUCCUCCAUGCAGCCAUUACUAAUAGAUCACAGAUGAAAUCCAUGGGCAUCUUCCCCAAUGCAGUGUCUUUGCUGUCCCUCAUUCCCUGCUUUAUUUUUGUUGUUUAUCAACUAUUGAGUACCUCUAGUGUUC
rnacentral:lncRNA from 1 species